CGGAAGAAUAAGCACCGGCUAACUACGUGCCAGCAGCCGCGGUAAUACGUAGGGUGCAAGCGUUAAUCGGAAUAACUGGGCGUAAAGGGUGCGUAGGCGGAUAGACAAGUUAGAUGUGAAAUACCUGAGCUUAACUUAGGAGGUGCAUUUAAGACUGUAGAUCUAGAGUUAGUAAGAGGAUGGGGGAAUUCCGAGUGUAGCAGUGAAAUGCGUAGAUAUUCGGAGGAACAUCGGUGGCGAAGGCGCCCAUCUGGGAUAUAACUGACGCUGAGGCACGAAAGCGUGGGGAGCAAACAGGAUUAGAUACCCUGGUAGUCCACGCCCUAAACGAUGUCUACUUGCUGUUG
rnacentral:rRNA from 1 species